AUUGAACGCUGGCGGCAUGCCUUACACAUGCAAGUCGAACGGUAACAGGUCUUCGGAUGCUGCCGAGUGGCGAACGGGUGAGUAAUACAUCGGAACGUGCCCAGACGUGGGGGAUAACGAGGCGAAAGCUUUGCUAAUACCGCAUACGAUCUAAGGAUGAAAGCAGGGGACCGCAAGGCCUUGUGCGUUUGGAGCGGCCGAUGGCAGAUUAGGUAGUUGGUGGGAUAAAAGCUUACCAAGCCGACGAUCUGUAGCUGGUCUGAGAGGACGACCAGCCACACUGGGACUGAGACACGGCCCAGACUCCUACGGGAGGCAGCAGUGGGGAAUUUUGGACAAUGGGCGAAAGCCUGAUCCAGCAAUGCCGCGUGCAGGAUGAAGGCCUUCGGGUUGUAAACUGCUUUUGUACGGAACGAAAAGGCUCUGGCUAAUACCUGGGGCACAUGACGGUACCGUAAGAAUAAGCACCGGCUAACUACGUG
rnacentral:rRNA from 1 species